GUGGGGAAUAUUGGACAAUGGGCGAAAGCCUGAUCCAGCAAUGCCGCGUGAGUGAUGAAGGCCCUAGGGUUGUAAAGCUCUUUUACCAGGGAUGAUAAUGACAGUACCUGGAGAAUAAGCUCCGGCUAACUCCGUGCCAGCAGCCGCGGUAAUACGGAGGGAGCUAGCGUUGUUCGGAAUUACUGGGCGUAAAGCGCGCGUAGGCGGUUUUUUAAGUCAGAGGUGAAAGCCCGGGGCUCAACCCCGGAAUUGCCUUUGAAACUGGAAAACUUGAAUCUUGGAGAGGUCAGUGGAAUUCCGAGUGUAGAGGUGAAAUUCGUAGAUAUUCGGAAGAACACCAGUGGCGAAGGCGACUGACUGGACAAGUAUUGACGCUGAGGUGCGAAAGCGUGGGGAGCAAACAGGAUUAGAUACCCUAGUAGUCC
rnacentral:rRNA from 1 species